AUUGAACGCUGGCGGCAGGCCUAACACAUGCAAGUCGAGCGCGCGGCGGGCGGGUGUGUGAAGUGUGGGGGACUGCCCGAUAGAGGGGGAUAACUACUGGAGACGGUAGCGAAUAUCGCACAUUAUCGGAUGAGCCCACAUGGGAGUAGCUAGUAGGUGGGGUAAUGGCUCACCUAGGCGACGAUCCCUAGCUGGUCUGAGAGGAUGAUCAGCCACACUGGGACUGAGACACGGCCCAGACUCCUACGGGAGGCAGCAGUGGGGAAUAUUGCACAAUGGGCGCAAGCCUGAUGCAGCCAUGCCGCGUGUAUGAAGAAGGCCUUAGGGGUGUAAAGUACUUUCAGUGGGGAGGCGUUACCGGCAGAAGAAGCACCGGCUAACUCCGUGCCAGCAGCCGCGGUAAUAC
rnacentral:rRNA from 1 species